rnacentral:rRNA from 1 species
UACGUAGGGCGCAAGCGUUGUCCGGAAUUAUUGGGCGUAAAGAGCUCGUAGGCGGUCUGUUGCGUCUGCCGUGAAAACCCGAGGCUUAACCUCGGGCCUGCGGUGGAUACGGGCAGACUAGAGGUAGGUAGGGAGGAAUGGAUCCGGAUCGGUGAGCGGUGAAAUGCGCAGAUAUCGGGAAGAACACCCGUAGCGAAGGCGGCACUCUGGGCCGGAACUGACGCUGAGGAGCGAAAGCGUGGGGAGCAAACAGG